UUCCCAGUCAUGGUUCCAACCCAAAACCUGUUUCUUUGCCCUUCAAUUGUUUCCAUAAAGUCUAUUCAUUCCUUAAACUAUCCAGUCUAUUUUUCAAUUGCUUUUGGGUAUAGUUUUUAUUAGCACGAGUAUUAAAUUCUUAUACUACAACUUUCCAUAUUUUAGCUUUAAAUGAAAUUCUUGGUUUUCCACACUUACGAAUCUCAUCCGUACAAACUUGAAGUAAGAUUUUAGUAGUGACCAAAUCCCACUUUGCAUUAUGUUUUGGUUUAUCUGAAAUUUCAAAAUUAAGUUGAGGCAUUUCUUGACUAGCCAUAAACUACAACACGACAUAAAAGCAAUAAAUAUUGCGUCAUCACUCAAACAAUAAGACACCCAAAUUUAUGAUGCAAUCAACAGAAUUUAGAAAAUGAAUGCUGCUAUUCCCUAUAUUGCAAUAAAUUCCAAAAAAUCAAAUUGAAAAGCAAAAAAAAAAAAAAUAGUUGUAGUGUUACUUUUUUUUUUUCAUCCAUCAAUCACUCAUAGUAAAAGAAAUUGAGAAAAGAGGCUAAUAUACAUACAUGGGAUGUCAUCAACUGAUCCAUAUUAAAUUUUCUGAUGAAAUUUGAUUCAACUUGCACCUAAUUUGGUUUAGUUAAAGUUAAUCUCGAUAGUUCAAUGAUCAAAGAUGCCAGGCAUUUUCUCUAAAUGAACCUAUAAUCCCUGGGGGCGUUCUCAAGAGGCAGAACAUUCAAGUUUAUUAGGAGAGUUAAUGUUACUGAAAAGGUUUUAUGUAGUACCUUUUUAUUAUUAGUUAACAUACAUCUUUCAUUGCAUGAAAUAUAAAUUUGUGUUUUGAUAGCAUGUUGGUUGGUUUCUCUUCCUUUUGAAAAAUUUUAAUUUUAAAACAAUAUGCCAGCUUUCUGGAAUGUUAUAGCUUUGUUUCUAUCGGUUUUAAGUCCUUUAUGUAUUAGUGUUCAUUUGUUUACUUUUUUUUAGGUUUAAACUAAUAGAAAUUUUUUGGGCAGAUAUUGUGUAUGAAGCAGGAUAAGUAUGUACAUGACUUGAGGGAGCAUUCUAAGGAGAUAUAUGCCAUCAGAUGGAGUCCUACUGGGCAUGGGACAAACGAUCCUAACUAGCAGUUAAUUCUUGCAAGGUAAAAAUGAGGUGUUGACACAACAGAUAUACUUACCUAUUUUUGCUAGUGUCAUUAUAUUUCACGUCUGCCACAGGAAAUUGUUUUAACUUGUGUCUUCUGCAUCACAAUUUGUGUACACAUCAUUCUUAUGUUUAUUAUUUAAAGCCAGAUGAUUGACCAACUUGCCUUGCACUUAUCAAGAUUUGGUGUAGAGAUAUCAGGAAUUUAAAAACGCAUUGAGGGAAGAUAGUAUUGAUUACUCAAUUUUCACAGCAAACAUCAAAAGGGAGCACCUAAAUCCCAGGAGAGGAGGGAAAGCAAUUCACAUGACUGGUGGAGAUGAAGAUGAUGAUUAUGAUGUUGAAGAGUGGAAAGGUGGCGUACGGAGACUGAGUAAUAGUGGAAGGAAAAGUUACAGCGG